rnacentral:lncRNA from 1 species
UGACCCGGAAGUGAGGCCUCGGGUCGCUGUGGGCGAGGCGCCUUCCCGGCGAGUGAAAGCGGGUCGUUGGGUUGACAUCUUUAUAGUCGGUUUCAUCCCAAAUAGAGAGGUCAUGUGUGGUCUCUCGGAAGUACUAGUCCGCCCUGCAUGGAAGGGCCACCUUCUGCCUCUUAGAGCUCCAGCGGGGAGGCCUCACAGUCCAACCUGAGGCACAUGCGCUGCCUGGAGGCCUGUGCGGCUCAAAGUGGCAGACAGGAAGAAAAACUUUUCACAAACAUCACCGAGAUGGAAAUGCCAAUGUAAUUCACCAUGAAACAUGCUGGGGACAGCACAAACUUACAAAGAGGCUCCUGUCUUGGGAAGAAGACUCUCAGGUAAGCUAUGCUGAUAAGUAACCGGGGCAAGGGAGAAAGUGACAAAUGACG